AUGAACGCUAGCGACAGGCCUAACACAUGCAAGUCGAGGGGCAGCACAAGGAGCAAUCUGAGGUGGCGACCGGCGCACGGGUGAGUAACACGUAUGCAACCUGCCUGUAAGCGGGGAAUAACCCGUUGAAAGACGGACUAAUACCGCAUAAUACUAAAUUACUGCAUGGUAAUUUAUUUAAACAUUUAUGGCUUACAGAUGGGCAUGCGCAUGAUUAGCUAGUUGGAGAGGUAACGGCUCCCCAAGGCAACGAUCAUUAGGGGUUCUGAGAGGAAGGUCCCCCACACUGGUACUGAGACACGGACCAGACUCCUACGGGAGGCAGCAGUGAGGAAUAUUGGUCAAUGGACGAGAGUCUGAACCAGCCAAGUCGCGUGCAGGAAGAAUGUCCCUAUGGAUUGUAAACUGCUUUUGCAGGGGAAUAAAGUGGCAUCACGUGUGAUGUUUUGUAUGUACUCUGCGAAUAAGGAUCGGCUAACUCCGUGCCAGCCGCCGC
rnacentral:rRNA from 1 species